rnacentral:miRNA from 14 species
UCUUUGUAUGUAUGUGUGUGUACAUGUCCAUAUGUGCACAUGUAAGGCAUGCAUACAUGUAUGCAUGCAUAUG